AUGAGCAAGGGGCACCAGGCACUGAGACGGAAGUUUGAGCUGUAGCUGUGGGGCCUUAGGCACGUGACUUAACCCUCUCUAUGUAUCUGUUUUCUGCAGACAUGGGGAAGGAAAGUCCUGUGGAACCUUGAAAGGCCAGGGGUGGCCCUGUCAAAGGGAAGCCUCCAGUCAAAGAAAGCUCAUUAUGUCUGGUGGGGGGCAUCAGAGAAGGGGCUCUCCUCUCCCAGUCUGGAUCCUCACACCACACUAAACCUGCUUCCACUCACACUCAGAUCUCCUCAGAAUUCAGAAUUACCGAGGAGACAAGCUUGUGACCACACCUAUGAGGGAGUUUCUAGACUGCAUUGACCGAGGUGGGAAGAUCCACCCUAAAUGUGGGCAACACCACUCCAUGGGCUAGGAGUUCAGAACUGUGCCAAAAGGAGAGUUUGAGCUGAGCACCGGCGUGCACCUCUCUCUGCUUCCUGACUGCAGCUGCAGCGUGAGCAGCUUGCCUCACUCUCCUGUCGCCACGCCUGCCUUACACACCGGACUGCACCCUCACACGGUGAGCCCAAGCCAAGGCUUCCUGAAGCUGUUUCUGCAGAGUAGUUCACCGCAGUGAGACGAGUCACUAACACAGUGCCUGGCCCAAGCCUGCAGCAGCACAUGCCACACACGCCAGACUCUCCCUCACCUAGGAGCCCCCAGAUAUCCUGAGUUCCUGGGGUUGGAUGACAAGCUUCACGCAUGUCACCCCUCAGGUUUCACUCACAUCUUAACUAAUUAUGUUCCUGUCUCUCAGAUGAAGAACCCGAUUAGUGUAAUGGGUGGCAGGCCACAUCCUGUGCUGCCACCAAGGGAGGUGCUGUCACUUGAGAAGAGAACACGUGGGUGACAAAACUAUUUCCUCUUCUGAAGAAAUGUCUGGGCACACCAGAGGGGGAGCUGCCUUUUGGUGAAUGGGCCUUUGGCAAACUGCCCUUCCCUGAGGUUUCCACACCCACCUGAGAGGACACACCGGUGCUUUCCACCACGAGCCCUUUGGGGACAUCUCCAUCCCCACAGUGGAGGGUUUGGGUUUUGUGGGUUGUUGUUGUUGUUUUAUGUGAGGGUUAAUGAUCAUUCUGUGAGAUGAAGUGUUCAAUGAAUUCAAGAUUUAAAGGUUCCUAAAGUGUCCACAACGUGACAGCAUGAAAGUCAAAGUAUAGACAGCUCCAAGUGUGGUGGCAGCUGCUGCUGUGGUUCAGUUAGGAAGAUGAUGAUAUUUUUAUGUGUAUGUGUCUGUGCAUGUGAGGGAAGUGCUCAUGGAGGUCACAAGGUGUGGCAGCCCCUGGAGCAGGAGUGACAGGUAGUUGUGAGCAGCCUACUGUGGGUGCUGGGAACUGAACUCUGGUCCUCUGGAAGAGCAGCAAGUGCUAUUAACACUUGAGACAUCUCUCCAGCCCCAUAUGAUUUUUAAAAAUGAACAGUACUGUGUUUUUACCACCUUGUAAUCUGUCUGGAAUUGGGGAGGGGUCCAAGAGCUCAUGGAAGAAGAUGAGGAUUUAGGAUUAGGCAGGAGGCCAGUGCCAUAGACAGAGGAGGAAAUGGCUUUCAGGCUUUGUGCCUCAGAGUGGGCAGGCAGCAGAACAUGCCACAAAGGAGGCUGGCAGAAACUGCUAAGAAACUUCUAGUCUCAGUUAAGACUUUCACUUCCUUCAGGGGCUUCGUGUGAUCACAAGAGACUGAAGGGGAACUGAGGCAUGUAAGUAAUAUUGAGAUACUGGGCUGUGAUGUAGCUCAGUGUUAGAUCACUUGCCUAGCAUGUGAGAGACCUUGGAUUCCAUCCCCAGGGCACGCACAUGCACUUGCACACACACACACACACACACACACCACAAAAAAAAGCGGUGCUGAGGGCUUUAGAGCUUGGAAGGGAGCAGGAGGUCUGGACAUUUCCUGUGAAAGCAGGAAGACUGGAAGACCCGUGCGUGAGAAGUUUCACAUCAGGAAUAUCUGGAAACACCGCUAUUGUUUGGCUCUAAGUUGGCAGGCUGAAGUAUGGCUUCAAAACUGAGCCUUGAAUCAGGUCCAUGACAUUAGUGGUUUUAUUUCCUAAGCUAAUGAGUGUAUUUGAGUGUGUGUGUACACAUGUAUGUGCGUGUGACCAUCACAAUGCUUCUAUACAGAGCGUAUGACCUGCUAUUGCCAAUA